rnacentral:sRNA from 1 species
GCUGGGCAUGGUGGCGUGAGCCUGUAGUCCCAGCUACUUGGGAAGCUGAGGUGGGAGAAUUGCUUGAGCUUAGGAGGUUGAUGCUGCAGUGAGCCACAGCCAUGCCACCGCACUCUCACUUGGGCAACAGAGCAAGUCCCUGUCUCAA